CAGGCACACGGGGAGGCUCGAAAGCUUCCACAACAACACGCUCGUCUACACCCCGAAGCAAGUGUUUUUCUGGCCGGCCAUGUUCACGGCCAGGAAGCACAUGGCCGUCAUCGACUAUGACGCCAACAUGGACCGUCAAAUCCUGAAGGGAGACGACGGCAACGACCGGUGCGUGUCGGUGUACAGCCGGGCCCAGAGCCGGUUUGUCCUCCGCCCGCAACGGCAGGCGAAGACCUUCAGCUACGUGGCAGAGCUGCUCACAGCCAUGCUGGAGCGUCGGAGAGCAGUCGAUGUCGCAACCCCCCGACCGAUGUCAGCGAGUGACCCGCAGAUCAUUCACCCUUACGUUAA